AUACGUAGGGGGCGAGCGUUGUCCGGAAUUACUGGGCGUAAAGGGUGCGUAGGCGGCCUUUUAAGUCAGAUGUGAAAGACACAGCUUAACUGUGGGGUUGCAUUUGAAACUGGAAGGCUUGAGUAUCGGAGAGGGUAGUGGAAUUCCAAGUGUAGCGGUGAUAUGCGUAGAUAUUUGGAGGAACACCAGUGGCGAAGGCGACUACCUGGACGAAAACUGACGCUGAGGCACGAGAGCUAGGGGAGCAAACAGGAUUAGAUACCCUGGUAGUCCUAGCUGUAAACGAUGGGUACUAGGUGUAGGGGUCUCGAAACCUCUGUGCCGGAGUUAACGCAAUAAGUACCCCGCCUGGGGAGUACGUUCGCAAGAAUGAA
rnacentral:rRNA from 1 species